GUGGAGCAAUCCAUGAGUACAGUGGCGUACGGGUGAGUAACACGUGGAUUAUCUACCUUCUAGUGGGGAAUACCUCCGGGAAACUGGAGACAAUACCGCAUAAGCUCGUAAGAGGAAAGCAGCAAUGCGCUGGAAGAGGAGUCCGCGGCUGAUUAGCUAGUUGGCGGGGUAACGGCCCACCAAGGCGAAGAUCGGUAGCCGGCCUGAGAGGGCACACGGCCACACUGGCACUGAAACACGGGCCAGACUCCUACGGGAGGCAGCAGUGGGGAAUCUUGCACAAUGGAGGAAACUCUGAUGCAGCGACGCCGCGUGAGCGAUGAAGCCCUUCGGGGUGUAAAGCUCUUUCGACGGGAACGAUAAUGACGGUACCCGAAGAAGAAGCUGCGGCUAACUACGUGCCAGCAGCCGCGGUAAUACGUAGGCAGCAAGCGUUGUUCGGAAUUACUGGGCGUAAAGAGUGUGUAGGCGGUGUUCUAAGUUUGUCGUGAAAUCUCCCGGCUUAACUGGGAGGGUGCGGCGAAAACUGGAAUGCUAGAGGAUGGGAGAGGUAAGCGGAAUUCCUGGUGUAGCGGUGAAAUGCGUAGAUAUCAGGAGGAACACCUGUGGUGUAGACAGCUUACUGGACCAUUUCUGACGCUGAGACACGAAAGCGUGGGUAGCAAACAGGAUUAGAUACCCUGGUAGUCCACGCCCUAAACGAUGCAUACUUGGUGUGAGCGAUUCAUUUCGUUC
rnacentral:rRNA from 1 species